CCUUAGUAACGGCGAGUGAAGCGGCAAAAGCUCAAAUUUGAAAUCUGGUACCUUCGGUGCCCGAGUUGUAAUUUGGAGAGGGCAACUUUGGGGCCGUUCCUUGUCUAUGUUCCUUGGAACAGGACGUCAUAGAGGGUGAGAAUCCCGUGUGGCGAGGAGUGCGGUUCUUUGUAAAGUGCCUUCGAAGAGUCGAGUUGUUUGGGAAUGCAGCUCUAAGUGGGUGGUAAAUUCCAUCUAAAGCUAAAUAUUGGCGAGAGACCGAUAGCGAACAAGUACAGUGAUGGAAAGAUGAAAAGAACUUUGAAAAGAGAGUGAAAAAGUACGUGAAAUUGUUGAAAGGGAAGGGCAUUUGAUCAGACAUGGUGUUUUGUGCCCUCUGCUCCUUGUGGGUAGGGGAAUCUCGCAUUUCACUGGGCCAGCAUCAGUUUUGGUGGCAGGAUAAAUCCAUAGGAAUGUAGCUUGCCUCGGUAAGUAUUAUAGCCUGUGGGAAUACUGCCAGCUGGGACUGAGGACUGCGACGUAAGUCAAGGAUGCUGGCAUAAU
rnacentral:rRNA from 1 species